ACGAACGCUGGCGGCGUGCCUAAUACAUGCAAGUCGAGCGGACUAAUUAAGAGCUUGCUCUUAUGAGGUUAGCGGCGGACGGGUGAGUAACACGUGGGCAACCUGCCCUGUAGCCUGGGAUAACAUCGAGAAAUCGGUGCUAAUACCGGAUAAUUGUUGGAACUGCAUAGUUCUAACUUAAAAGAUGGCUCCGGCUAUCACUAUAGGAUGGGCCCGCGGCGCAUUAGCUAGUUGGUAAGGUAAUGGCUUACCAAGGCGACGAUGCGUAGCCGACCUGAGAGGGGUGAUCGGCCACACUGGGACUGAGACACGGCCCAGACUCCUACGGGAGGCAGCAGUAGGGAAUCUUCCGCAAUGGACGAAAGUCUGACGGAGCAACGCCGCGUGAGUGAUGAAGGUUUUCGGAUCGUAAAGCUCUGUUGUUAGGGAAGAACAAGUGCCGUUCGAAUAGGACGGCACCUUGACGGUACCUAACCAGAAAGCCACGGCUAACUACGUG
rnacentral:rRNA from 1 species